UAGGGAAUCUUCCGCAAUGGACGCAAGUCUGACGGAGCAACGCCGCGUGAGUGAAGAAGGAUUUCGGUUCGUAAAACUCUGUUGUUAGAGAAGAACAGCGCAUAGAGUAACUGUUAUGCGUGUGACGGUAUCUAACCAGAAAGCCACGGCUAACUACGUGCCAGCAGCCGCGGUAAUACGUAGGUGGCAAGCGUUGUCCGGAUUUAUUGGGCGUAAAGCGAGCGCAGGCGGUCAAUUAAGUCUGAUGUGAAAGCCCCCGGCUCAACCGGGGAGGGUCAUUGGAAACUGGUUGACUUGAGUGCAGAAGAGGAGAGUGGAAUUCCAUGUGUAGCGGUGAAAUGCGUAGAUAUAUGGAGGAACACCAGUGGCGAAGGCGACUCUCUGGUCUGUAUCUGACGCUGAGGUUCGAAAGCGUGGGUAGCAAACAGG
rnacentral:rRNA from 1 species